CACCCGCCCCCCUCCAAAUCCUAUUAUGUGCCCGGUGACUGUUUGUUCGGUUUUAGGUUGGGGUGACCGCGGAGUAUAAGAUAUCCUCCAUGAAAAAAAGCUAACUGCCCUUAUUAGAGAAAGACACUUCCAAAAAAUAAUAAAUUAAUUUUAAAUGAUCCGACAUUCGAUCAACGAACCAAGUUACCCUGGGGAUAACAGCGCANUCCGUCCCGAGAGCCCCUAUCGACNGGCGGGUUUACGACCUCGAUGUUGGAUCAGGGUAUCCUAGUGGUGCAGCAGCUACUAAAGGUUCGUUUGUUCAACGAUUAAAACCCU
rnacentral:rRNA from 1 species